CAACACACUAGCAUAAGCUACCCAAUGCAAAACCUUAGGUGACAAGGUAUAAGGUCAAUACUAGGAAAUCCUUAACAAGGAGACACAUGCAAUAUGAAUUAUGUGUGAUUAUAGUUAUUAAGAAAACAAGGAUAAUCUCAUGCUAUACUUGCCUUAAUCUUUACUUAAACUCAUAUCCCUCUUCUAGUUCCACACCUUCAAUGAACUGCUUCUUCAUCACCACAUAUAGCUCACCGUCUGGACAUGAUCAUAAAGCACCACACAAGCAUUUACGCAAUCAUACACGAAGCAAACAAUAGAAAUAAAUUAAAACAGUACACCAAUCAAUAGAAAGGUUUAAAAACUAAUCUACGCAUUGUUACGAGCACACAGGUCUUUGAUUUUCUUUUGUGCCUUUGCCAAAUCAAGACUGUUGUACAUAAUUCAUAUUGCAAAGUUAGAUAUUGUUUUAUCUAAAUACUCUAUCACUCUGCCUAUUUCAAUUUACUUGCUGGAUUAUUUAUAUGUUUUUAUUACUGCAAAGUUAGAUAUUGUUUAAUUGUGACUAGAAAAGAGCCAUUUGAUUGAUUUAUCUAAAUACUCUAUUUUUUGUGAGCAUAUAUCAUGCCUCUCUUUGGUUUGUACUGUUGCCUGUCUAACUACCUACUCAACUCUAUCUAAACUCUGUUGUUUGUUCAUUUGUUUGUCUCCAAGUCCAAACAAAAUAGAUUUUUUUAUUUCCCAGCUACUGAAAACAUGCAUAUUUUGAUGGCAGGAAUCAGGUGGCUGAACCUAGAAUUUAAUGUAUGGUGUUAGUGUUGUUGAACUUGGAGGCUAUGAUCACUUCUGGUACUUGGGAACUUGGUGUACUUGGUGCUUAGCUACUGGUUGGUGGCUGCAUUGUUUUUGCGGUGGCUUCUGGUUGCUUCCAGGUUGGAGUAUUUUGGUGGUACCGAUUGCUGGCUGCAAUUUUUUUUGCAUUGGCUAUUGGAAUGCUGGAGUUUUUUGGCUCAGGUUGCUGGCUGCUGGAAGAUGCACGCUGAAACUUGGCACUGGCUACUUGGUCGAAUUUUUGGUGCUGGAACUCAGCACUAAACUGUAGGAACUUCUUUUUAGUUGGCUGGAGGUGUGGAACUAGAUUAGUUGGCUGGAACUUGUUUAGUUGGCAAGAUCAUUUUCUAUUCAUGUUUUUGUUGUGCUUUCAUAUGGAAACAUGUAAGAAAAUAUAUUCUGGAACAUGCUUUGUAUGGGCUAGAAAAUUAAUUAUUGUUGGAAUCUAAUUAUAAUAUAAUUAUGCAAUUGGUUGUGGUUUAUAUUCUGCGAUUAAAUUUUUGAUUGGGCUAGCUCACAAUGGGCUUGAAUUUUAACGAUGGCCUAUAAUGACAAAAAAAAUCAAAUUUGUAGCUAGGCAAAAAAAAUAUUUGGGCCAAUUUGGCUAAUUGUAAUUCAAAAGAAAAAAAAGCUAUAUGGGCUGAUUGUAAUUUGCCAAGUCACCUGCCAUGUCACAUGCGCCAUAUCAUCAUACAUGUGUCAUUAUUUGGUUCAUUUUGUUAUGACGAAUUUAGUCUUGCCAUUGUAUCAAUGACAGGAGAAUUAUCGUCACUAUAUUAAUGAUGAUUUCUUCUGGUGGUCAUAGAAGCUCUUUAGUGACCCAUCUUCUGCGAUGACAGUCACUCAGUCAUUGUAGGCUGGCAGUGACAGAAAAAUGACUGUUAUCGUCAUAAUAAGAUUGUCAUAGAAGCCCAGAAUUUCUAUAGUGAGACGUAAAAAGCAUGCUAAUCGGAGCUACGGUGAAACAGAAACGACGACCGAAAGAUUGUCUUUGUAAGAGAGAAAACUUUAAGCUUCAUUUAUUAUUUAAUUGAGUAAAACUACGUGAAAAGUUAUUUAGACCAGAUUAACUUAUUUCAAAAGCUAGGCUAAAUACUCAUAUUGUAUUUAUAAAUAAUGUCAUAUAGUUUAAUCAAGUUAAACUUUAUCUUUACAAAAGAAAAAGUAUAUGUGAAUGCGACUAAUUGAGUUUAUCACAUAUGCAACGUGUUUAAACUAAGCAACUUAGAAUUUAGAAACACAUUUUUAUAAACAACUAAUCAUAUUAAUAUUUUAUUUAUGAAAGAUCGAGAUAGAAAACCUACGUUAUUUUUAAUUGAAAAACUAAUUGUAUAUAGACUAAUAUUUGAUUUAAAAGCAUAAAUUAAUACACACUGACUAAACAAUAUUACUAUCAAGAGUUUUAUCUUAUCUCUACAACUAAAAAUUAUGGAGACGACCCAUCUACCACACCUAUGGUGAAGCCACAACUUCCGUCCCUUUUACUUUGUCAUGAUAGGUUAUCCCAUCAACCUUCCCCACUCAUCCAUGCAUACAAAAUUGUUUUAGCAACUUAAAAAAAGUCAUAACUCUUAAAUCGAAGAUAUAAAUUAAAUUCCGAUUGCACAAUUAAAUUUCUUAUAACAAAUCCUUCAAAACAAGAUCAUACAUGGAUAUAUUUAGAUAAAAUUUUAUUAAUGAAAAUUUAUCUCUACAACUAAAAAUUAUGGAGAGGACCCACCCAAAACUCUCAUCCCUUUGGUGGUCUUUUUUACUGCGAGAUGACACGCUAUCCCAUCAACCUAUGCCACACUCACCUAUGCAUGCAAAAUUGUUUUAGCGAAUUAAAAAAAGUCAUAACUCUUAAACCGGAGAUAUAAAUUAAAUUUUGAUUGCACCAUUAAAUUUCUUAUAACAAAUCCUUCAAAACAAGAUCACGAAUACAUUUUGAUAAAAUUUUAUUAAUGAAUAUUUAUCUUAUAAAGAUAAAAUAUUUUCUUUUAUUAAGUAGAGACAAUAUUCUAGGUUCAACAGACAAUGUUCUGUCUUUGUAAAAAAUGUUAUCGAUUUAGAAGAAUAGUAUUUUGGUUUUAGGUUUAUGAAACUGAUAUUACAAUAUACAUAAAAAUACACAAAUACACGACAUAGAUAAAAAUAAUAAUAAAAUCUAGAGCAAAAAGCAUAAGAAAAAAAUAAAACACAAAAUGGAGAAAAAAUUCAAAUAAUGUCAAAGUGUUACUUUUCAAAUAUCGUAAAUAUAUUUAUAGAACAUUAUCAUCACUAAAUACAUCAUAAAACAUCUUUAAAUAUAUUAUAGCAUAUCACAUCUAUUAUAGAUUACAUGUAUACUAAGUAAACACCAUAAGAAAUAUCAUAGAAUAUCACAUGUAUACUACGUAAACAUAACAUAACACAACAUAGAACACUAAAUAUAUACUACAUAAACAUGACAUAUAUAUAGAAAAUAAAAAUAAAAAAUAAAUGAAUAAUUUAAAUAACGAUAAAAACAAAAUUAAAAGGAAUUAAAUUAUAAAAUAAGAAUGAAGUAACAUAGAAAACCUAAAAAUAAAAAAGGAAAACAAAUAGAAGCAAGGAAGAACAAUAAAAAUAAAACCAAAAGAAAAAAAAUAAAAUUAAAGGUAAAAUUAAAACAAGAAAAGAAUAAAAAAACUGAAAAGAAAUAAAAAAGAAAGAAUAUAGACAGAAAAAAUGAAAUAACAAUGAAGAAAUAUAAAGUAUGUGGAUUUUAAAACCCGUAACAACAUAGGGGCAUUAACCUAGUAAAAGAAACAACUAUGAACUUGAUUUAUUUAAUUAAUAAAAAAUUAUAGUAUUAAUUCAAAUUAAUCAUUAAUCAAACACAUUAGUUUUAGAAGUCAAGUUAUAGCUAAUCAUGUUAGUUUGUCAUCAUAUAAUUUAAUUAGAUUAAAAUUUAACAUUUACAAAACAAAGGUGUAUGUAAGACGAUAUAAACAAGUUUUAUAUGACCUUAAGCAAAUUAUAAUUUAAAAACACAUUUAUAACAACAGUUAAUCAUGUUAGCAUUUAUAUAUAAAAUACAUGAGUAUAAAACCUAUAUUGAUUUUAAUUGUAAAACUAGAUGCCUUAAUUUUAAAUCAUUUUAGUAUUUACCCAUAAGUGGCAUAAAACCAUUAGCACUACUACAUAGAGUGCAUCGAUACAAAUCUAAGCAACUUGUACGAAUCAAAUCGGAAUUAAAACGAAAAACAAUGAAGAUAAUACGAACUAGUGGCAAACUCAUAAUUACUUAGUCUUCACCUUUGUGUAGGAUGUGAGGACCUCCAGCCAUGGGCGAUCCAUACGGUAGAGCCCUGACCGGCGAAAGGAUAACAGGCAGGGACAACGGUGGACCGACAGCAAGAGAACGAGAAAAAUAUAAUUUACUAAGAUUUUCCAAACUAGGACUCCGUAGUUUUGCUAUGCUUUGUCCAAGGGGUUAGUACAUAUAUAUAGGGAGAAAAACCCUCCACAUCUACAUCAACUAGCAAUAUAUGGUACUAAUUAAUGUUGCACCUUCCACCGUUACUAAUGGGCCUAAAUAAACAUUAUAGCCCAUUAACAAAUAAAGACAUGGUCUUUGGGAUUUAUUAUAAUUAUCACAUAUGAGAUUCGAGCGUUAAAAAGGAAGUCAAAUUUUAUUAUUUUUUGGAAUUAAUUAAUUUCAUAGAUAAAAUAAUUCCAAAAAAGUCUAGAAUUAUUAUUUAAGCCCCAAAAAAUACUUCAAAAACUUUGAAAAUUCGGAAAAAAAUUCAAAGCUAUUAUGGAAUAUGAGGAACUCAAAUAAAGUGUGUGUUUGGAGCUCAUGAUGAGAUAAUAUAGAGCAUUUAAAAAAAUAUGCUCACAGAAAAGUGAGAACAAGUUCUAGGAAAAGCUAGAAAAAUCUUCGAUAAGUUUACAGACUGCUUGAUGGACGAGAAACUAAAAAAAGUGAUUUGGAUGACAAAGAAAAGAUUUUAGGAAGCUCCUAAUAAAAACUUGAGCUGAGAAACAAAGAAUUUGGUAGUAGAUAAAGAUAAAGACGUACUGAUUUUUAUCGUUCUACUAAAGGCAAUUUUAAAAACUUUGCUUACUCUCAACACACAAAGGAGCAAAACAAUCAAACAUUACAUCAAAUCUUAUGCACCAGCAUGUGUGCACAACAGUAUUGCUAAGCCUUAUGAUAAAUUUUAAUUUAAUGAAAAAUAUUAUUUUUCCUAUAUUUUUAUGAGCACAAAAAUACAUAAUUAAAUUACUUAACUCUAUUUCAAAAGGAGCAAAUAUUAGAGUGUUACACCCCAUGUACUUAAUGUGUGAUGCAACAGCUCACACAAUCAUCUAUUGUGGUGGCAUAAAAAUAAAUUUCAGCAUAUUUAUUUUCUUGUCUGCAUACCAUAAAUAUAAAAAGUAUGAAAAAUAUUUUGAUCUUGAUAAAAGAUAAAUGGGUAUAAGAAAGUUCUAUAGUUCCAAAGCUUAGAGGUUUAUCACUAAUGCUUAAUCAAUUCCACAAACUUUGUUGUCUAUUUGAGCUUCAUAGGCUUUAAAGGAUCAAGAAGAGCCAACAGGCAGAAGGACGUCAUGUCCCUUGUCGGAGUACUGUCCGCAUUAGUCAAGUGUUGUUUCUUACAGCAAGUAUCCAUGACACUCUAGGAGGAUCAGUACGCCUUGACUGCCCAUUGUUGACAUUUCUAACACCACUUAAGCUAAGUUGUCAUCCCUAGCAUGGCGCUAGAAGUGUUGGUAUAAAAACUGCUCCACUAAUAAAAUAAAUAUAGGAUCCGCAAGCAUAUAGAUUAAAUAUCAUUGCAGAACUUCAUCAGGAAGUACUUCAGGUAUCGUUAUUUAUAUUUAGCUCAAGGAAAAGAACUAAGGACAUUAAACAAUGAGAUGAACUUGCAAGACAUGAUUACUUAUGACCGAUGGGUUGCAUAGUCACAUAAUUGGCAGAGCGGUAAACCAUGAUAGAUAAAUAAUAUGAAGUAUAAAAGCUCAGGGAAUAAAUCACAUAGAGAUUAGAGAUAGACUACUCAACUUAAUAGUAGGUCGACGUCUUAUUAGUUCAAGAGAUAGAAAAUCCUAAGUAGUUCUAAUUUAGUAAGUCAUUCAUCUACUCUAAUGCUACACUAUCAUAUAUAGUAUAAAAGACUCUUCAUCUAUGUAUAAGGAAUACUGCUAUAAAAAUCCAAGACAUAGCUGGAUUUCCUACGCAACUGUGGUUCUACCUAUCCUACCAACAGGGGAUGGAAUACGAAGGACUCAACGGAACUAUCACUUCCGUGAUCCACAACACGACCCGGCCAAUAGGGUGUAAUUGCAGAUAAACGACAUCUAAACAUCAUGCUUACAUGACAUCUAUCACCUAACCCUCUCGUGAAGAGAUCUAAGCGCUUUGCAAAUAUAUACAUAAACUCAUUAUCAAUCAUAAUCAUAUCAAAUGUAGAACUAGAAUAAACUAGAAAUAUAAUAAAUAGAAACAUAAUGAUAUUUAGUAUAAAGUCACAAGGAAGAUUCAAGAUAAUACAAAUCCUUGACGAUGAAGAUCUAGAGUUCCUAGCACAAACGCCCGACUCUUCCUCUAUCUAGUCUAAACCUAUGUAGAAAUUGAAGAUUUAGAGUAGCUAUUCUAAUUCUCUGGUGGAGAGAUCUUGUCACACCCAUAUUUCAAGAACAAAAUAGGAUGCAUAAAAGGCUCAUAUGUGCCCCAGAAAUAAUCACAGACAUAAGCAGACAAAUCUCAAAAGUAUCAUUGCAGUGUUUAUUACAUAGUAGAAUAAUAAUAAUCACAUAGUCUUAUACAAUAAUGAUAAAUAAGAAUAAAUAACUCUCUCAACGGAAGCUUCACAAUGGGACAAACGUUGACUGGUUGACUUUAAACCUAAUACUCAUAUCGAUAGUCCUCAAUCCAAUAAUCAUCAUUUGCAUAACCUAGGGUGUUGGGAAAUUACAAGAGUGAGCACAUAUCGUACUCAACAAGUAUAACCAGGGG
rnacentral:lncRNA from 1 species